CUCGCUUGUGUGUUGGGAGAUUAGUCAUCCUGCUGUAAACUGAUGGAAUAAGAAGUGAGGGGAGAGGAACAAGCAGCAGCUACUGUGUAACCUGUUGCCCUUUGUUAGCACAGCUUCAUCUCAAGUCCAAAUUCUGCAGCAGACUUUGUUUAUAAACCUCCUAAUUUGGUUUAAAGCACCAGACUUAAGACCUUUGGGCUAAGUUUGUGAGGGUUUGAUGGUGGGGUUUUUGUUUUGGUUUUGUUUGGUUUGUUUUUUUUCCUGCAAAAUACACUGGAAAGGAACCAAAUUUGGAAUGUGUCAGAAUCAGUGCCCCACAGGUUGAAAUCAUAAGCAGUCAGCUUGUUCCUCUUGCCUCUCUGUUGUUUUUUGUUCACUCCAUUUAAGUCAAUACUGAAGGCAUUUUCUUGACAGUAACAUUGCAAGUUAAUCUUUACAAACAGGGAUUCCGUGGAAUUAAGGGGGAAAAAGGGGAGCCAGGCCAGCCUGGCCUGGAUGGGCUGGAUGCCCCUUGCCAAUUGGGUCCUGAUGGAUUACCAAUGCCUGGCUGUUGGCAAAAGUGAUGAAUCUAACCUUACAAGCAUGAAGUUGUGUAUAUAGUGCUCCACUUUUUUUAUUUAUAGUUGAGAACUGAAAAUUUGAUUUUACAAGUCUGAGAUAUGUUUACAUGUAGCUGCUUCUACUUGUUUGCAAUAGUCCAUACAUACAUCUUUUUUUCACCUACAUCUGCAGUUAGAUGAUACAAUGACUGCAGGACAAACCUGCAAAGGUUGUCUCUCUAAUGGGAGAGAUCUCAAAACAAUGAUCAAUAAUAGGAAUUAAUAUUUCUGUAAAUUCUUAUAUUUUGGCUUGUGGAUAUGCAUGGACCAUGAGUGCCAUGAACUAGUUUACAAGAAAUUGUGACCAAAUAAGAGGAAAAUGCUAUAAAAUGUACUGUACCAGCUGCUGUUGGAGUUUACUGACUUGGCUUCCAUGUCCAUCUUAAAACACGUCACUGAUUCAUGACACCACAUCUGCUCAUAUGAACUAAAAGCAUGAGUUUGUGUGCCAGACCUGCUUGCUGUGUGAUCAUGAGUGGCUGCUCACAGUGACCUUUGAUUCCAGCUUCUGAGUCAUUUCCUUUUGUCAUCUCAAGGGAGUCACACCAUGGCUCAUUGCUAGAAAGAGAUAAACCAGAGGAGCACAGAAAGAGGCCUUGAAUUUUUGGGGAAUAGCAUUCCAGCUGCAGGUGGAUGGCUUCCAGUCUUGCGGGAUACUUGGCCCCUUUGAUCAGAGAGGGUCCCGCCUGUUGAUCAGCUUCGGUUUUGCCUUGCGCUGCUCACGGUCGUGAAGACAUUCGCGAUAGGCCCUGUCGAGUCCUUCAUCAAGAGGGACAGAACGUUGAAGAAGAAACCAGACUUCUCUGUGGGUUGUUUGAAAAGGUUACAGAGGUGCUGCAGGGAUCAUUUGAUGGCAGACACCACCUGAGACCAGAAGCUUCUCAACCUCACUUGAGGACGGACAGAGUGUGUAUACUCUGCAUAUUGGAUUUUGGAAUGCUGGAGGAGAAAGCACUCUUGAGGUGGGGAUGAAUCAGAUCAUCCUCCAGAGGAGGAUAGCAAUGGAACUGACUGUUAGUAUCAUGGUGUGGUUUUCAGGUUAUUCACUUUAAAUUACACAUGACUAGCUGAACUUCUCUACGGGGUUUUGGAAGCAAUGGUUUGCUUUGUUUCCUUUGUUUCCUGUUACUGUUGCCAUAAAGAAUGCAUUUCAAUAAUCUAUUCAACAUUUGUGAUGACAGCAUUGAAGAAAAUACACUCAAGCCUCAUAUUCAUCUUGUUUCAGUAUUAACAGCUUUUAUUUCAGAGUCUUUGAAGUCUUUAAGUCUAGAAAAGAAAGAGUUUAUUUUUGUGUUUCACAGAAUGAUGUAUUCAUCUUGUUCCUUUUAUGUUGUUACGGUGAUUUUAGUGGACAUUAUUGCUCAAAAAACAUUGGAGAGAAACAAUUCUGUGUGAUUAUCACUGCACGCUUGUCUCCACGCUCCACUGUUAAAUGUGUUGAUUUUUCUCCCUUUCUGUUCAGAUGGCUUUCUAGAGAAACAUUUCCUUCUCCACUUUUUUUUUUCUUAUUGCUAGAAAUACGUAAUUUGUGCACAUUUGUAGUUUUGCCACGAGGUAUUUUUUUUUAAAUUUUGAGUCUUCAUAUGGUGCACUGAGUUUGAGAGAUUAAUUUAUGAGAAAUGGUGCCAUAUUUGGCAGAUGGAAAUUUUUUUAUAUCGCUUCUGUUCCUAAUGUAUAUAGCAGGAUCAUCCCAAAUGGUUUUAGUUAUUUUUUCAAAGAGUUGUCUUUCAUAUGUAGACCAAAAGGAAAGUUGAGGAAGGCAGCUUGUCUCCAUUCAUAUUGAGGGCACCUUAUGCCCUUCUUGGAACGCACAUUUUUCCUAGCUCCAUCGUUUCUAAAUCAUGUGAAGAUGGGGUCACACUUUUUGUAUUGCUUCACAAUCUCAGAUCAGUGGAAAUGCCACUAUAAUGGAAAAUUUCUCUUUGAUGAAACUUUAUUGUCAUUUUGGUACAUUGGAGUCAAACCCAGCUUUUCAUUGAGGGAAACACAGAUUUUUAAAUCACGAAUUAAAUUUAGCAGCCUCCAGUUAGUAAAAUCCUACUAAUAAAAACAAAAACCUGACACUAUACACUGAAUACAUAUGUAUUUUUACUGCUCAAUUCCAUCUUUCCAAUAGUAAAAAAUAAACAAGUGUUCACAGAUGUAAGGAAAUAUGCUUUGCUUUCCCUAAAUUUUCAGAGAUGCAAAUGACAACCUGUUUGAAUAGUAAUGAUUACAACAGUGAAAACCUUCAGGUGGCACAGGCAGAAUAUAAAAUGUUGCCAGAGUGUUACAGCAAUAAAAGGUGACUGAGGGCCUUUCAGAAGGAGGACAGGAUCAGCACUCUGACUCACCACUUUCAGUCUGCUUGUUUAGGCAGCACUGUCUCAAAAACACAGCAGGCUGAUGAGCAAGCUGCCUGCCUGGCAGAAAAGAGUCACUCAUGUCAGUGUCCUGACUUGGCACAUUUGGCUGGGUAUGUGGUAGAUGUAGAGAGUAGAAACUGAAUGUUUUUUAAUAUAUCUAAUACUGGCAAUCGAUACAGUACAAUGAAAUAAUUUUUAAAAGUUUUUAAAUUUCAGAGUAUUUACAUGUAAAAUCAAGUAGGAUAUUUAUUAUCUGACUAGAUGGCUUAUCAGCCCCUUACUGAGACUGUCCACAAAUGCAACUCAUUUAAGAAACAGCAACAAGAUAAACAAUGCUGUCAUUAGCACUUUCUUUUUCUUUUUUUUAAUUUGUGUACUUAUAUUUUUUAACUGCCCUCCUAGCUUCUAUUUCUGUAUGUGCCAAUAAAGCUAGCAAGCUUUGGUCCAUGGUUUUGUCAUUCAGGAAAUAAUUAUAGACACUACUAUAAGUUAAGUGUCAAAACUCAAUUCUCCUCUAACUCCCUGACACUGAGACCCUACGGAAGAAACACUUAAGCACCUUCAUUUGCUUUCUUUUCUGUCUUGUAAAUUAAUUUCUUUAUUAAAUUCCCAGCAAGUAGGAAAGUAGGAAUACCUUUUUCUUUUUUUUUCCCAAAUAAUCUUACUUGGCUUUUUUAGCUUUUGUAUUGUUCAAUAGCAUGAAAUGUUCAUUCCUUUUAAAUAACCAUGAGCAAGCAGUAGACAAUUUAAUCUGAAAGGUUAAACUACAUACAUAGAUUUGGCAUUAAUAUUUGCAUCUCAGAUUGAAUUGAAAUGAAACUUAAAAGUUGCAUGGUCAGUACAAGAAAAAAAAAAUUUGGUUUAAUAUUUCAUCAAGAAAAGCACCCUGUGAAGACUUGCAACGUGUUUAUUUUGUUCAAGAAGCAAUUAUUUCUGGUGCUAGUAUAUCUUUUUCCUUUUGAUGGCAAAGCUACAGUUUGAACUGCCAGUGUGUUGUUGUAUCUUUUAGUGGCAUUCCUCCAGAUAGAUAUGAUUUGUUUUGUUUAGUUUGUGACAGGAACAGUAGUUCCUCUACCAGUCUUUUCAGUUGUAGAAAUGUGUAGUGGUAUUAGUCUACACAGUUUCUAUAUCUCUGACUUUUUCCAGGUAUGAUUAAUCCUUGUUUCUUUGAGAGUUUUCAGUAUUUGUUUCAUAUGAAGUUUUGUAAUUAUCUGUUACUCCAGUGCAUUAAAACCACAUUGUGCAGAAGUCCUGCUACAGAGGCUGCAAAUCUUUUAAGCACUGUAUGGAAUAUGCCUGACAUACGUGGUCCUUGUCUUCAUAUUCAUGGACUAACUGUGGGAAAGCUUUCUUUCAGGAUGCUUUGGACAACUUUUUAUUUUUUCCUGAGAUAAAGCAUGAGAUAUUAAAUCACAGAGCAAUGAUACAAUGUAUUUUUUGAUUUAUAUUUUUAUUUAUUGCUGGUCGUGAUGCCAUAUUCUGAUAGUGUAGCAAAGCAGAAUGAUACUCUUCAUCCAGCUGUUUAUAUAUUCUUUUAGUCUAUGGUGUAAGUAGUAUGAAUACUGAGUUUCAGAAUGAUCAGAUCCAUAUAUCUGCACAUGUGUAAAGUAUAGAGUUGUAAAAGGAAUAGAAAGGUUGAUGUACAGUGUGGAAAGUUAGCACUGGCUCCACUGAGCAUCGCAGCCAUGGACGGGGUGUGUGUGACCACCAGUUACUCAGUUAUGCCACGGGAGAGACAAAGCAGCCCCAGAUGAGAUCAGCAGAGCUUUGCUGCUCGUGCUUGUAAGGCUGGGGGCUGUGGCAGGACACGUGGCUGGGAUCCUGGAUCCCCACGGAGAUGAGCUGUCCCACUGACCACCCCAGAGCUGGGAUUGUAAACCUGGCUCAGCCAUGCAGGGCUCCUCCCCUGGCUGUGCCUCCCCAUCCCCAGCAAGGACCAGGGGACAGAGAUGCAUCCUCCCCUUGCAAAGCUCUUUGAGACAUGCAGGAGGAGGACACGGGUGUGAGCUUUGUAAUGAGGGCAGUAUUAACCACCUUCAGCAGUGGGUUUUGCCUGAAUCAGGACUACUUCAGUAAGAACUGCAGAGAUAUUAUCAGCCUGUUUAUUGAAAGUGAUGAAGAGGUUCAAGGCAUGCAGAAGUUGGUCCUUCCCUUCAAAUUUACUGAUCUCUGCUGCUUGGCCAUCUUAUAUUACACUUCUAAAUCUCUGUAUUUUACCUAAUGAGAUUCUUAAAUUUUCACACUACAGACUCACACAAAACACAUCUGCAAAGAUAGUGGUCAAAAGAAAGUCUAAUUUGUAAUCAUUGCAAAAAUUCUAUUUCAGUGACUGGAAUUAAAACCAACACUGAUUUUUUUUUUUUUUUUUUUUUUUUUUUUUUAAAUUUUCUGCAAUUUGUUUUUAUGGAUGUCAAUGUUGCUGUAAUGUAUAAAUGAAGGUUUUCAUGCACCCUCUGUUAUUAAAGUAUUUUACGUGGUGGUUGGAUUCAUUAGUUAGAAACAAGUGCCUGCCACCAUCAUUUCUGAAAAAGAUACUCUACAGAACAAGUGGAGUUUGUUUUUUAAAAGGGAUUUGGAGUGUUGUUUUUGUUUCAUUUUGUUUUUAAAUGCAUCCAAUUACCAAUGCUGCUUGGAAAUUGAAUUUUCUUUGAAAGCAGGGGGCCUUAACUUAACCUGGGACCGUUAGUGUUUUACUUGUUUCUAUUUAAAAAAGAAAUUGUAUGAAUUUCCCAGAUCCCAUUGGUACUUGCACACUUCUCUGAAGUAUUAUGGAGAGUUGGGUUGGUGGAAGAAUGUUUUACAUACUGUUAACGUAUAUGUGGAUAUUCUUAUAUUAUUGUACAUGUUUGGGAAAAUAUCACACAACUUUAAAAAUGUUGCUAAGAUGUAUGUAUCUGACUUUUUCCUUUGGAAAAUAUUAUAUAUUUUUAUUUGUAUUUUUUACUUUUUUAAGUUCAUCUAUAUGUGCCGUUAUUUUUGUAUUGCAAAUGGUCUCAUAAAUGAAGUAGAAGAGAUAAAAAUACAAAGAAAAGUAAUUUGGCAAGGAUUUCAAUGCUUGGGGGGAAAAAUACAUGGGUCAGCAUCAUAUUAUCAAUACUAGAAAUAUUUUGAGUGUCUUAUCACUGUAAAUAUGUCACGAGACCUCUUUUGAUGAGUAGUGUAAAGAAUGUCAAGGUUUUAAUCACCCAUUUUAAUUUGUUAUUAUUUACCACUUUCUUGUGGCCACUGGUCUUGACUUAAUUGAACCCAAUCAAACAGCAUGCUUUUGUUUUUACUAUUAAAAUUUCUCCGUGUUUUUCA